GGGGACAUAGCUCAGUUGGUAGAGCGCAACAUUCGCAUUGUUGAGGUCGUGGGUUCGAAUCCCACUGUCUCCA
rnacentral:tRNA from 1 species